AGAAACAGGAAGAAAUCCAGCAAAAAUCUGACACAGGAUCUGAGAAAUGCAUCUGGCCCUUCAGUUGAUCAUCUGCUGUUUACUGAAGCCUCAUCAUGAAGGGUCUUGGUGGAACGGUGGCUGUCAAGAAACCAUACUUAAGGAAGUAAAAGAAUGAAAAGUUACACAAGAAAUGUACUGAACAGAUAAAUCCUUUUUUUUUUUUAUUCAAAUCAUCAUUCAAUGUAUGGAGGACGUCAGAAGAGAGGUACAAAAGUAAGGGCCAUCAGCCAUCUGUAAAACACAGCACAGACGCUGUUAUUGUUUGUGGCUGCACUUCAGACAGUUGUGUUAGAGAUCUUGUCAAAUUGGAUGGAAUUAUAAAUUCAGAAAGGUACAAUCAGAUUUUGAUCCCACAUAAAGUAUCAUAUGAAAGAUGUCUGACUGGCAACCUGACUGAUCAUCUUGACUGAGAACAACAUAUAAGGCAGCAAAUAUCCAAAGAAGACCUUUGAAAGUCCUUCAAAUAGCCUUGAGAACCAUUUCUGAAGACUAAGGACAUUUCAAAAUAAAGGUGGUCAAUAAAUUGCAACCUCAUUAGUAUUGUUCAGGCUUUAUUUUCGCCAUAUAUGCUGUUUUUUCACUUAUAUUUCAAUAAGUUGUUGCAUUUAUUUGCCAUUUUCCAGGCAAAAAAAUAAUGAAAAGAGGGAUUGCUUAAGAUUUUUGCACAGCACAGUACAUACACAUACAUGCAGGACUCAAGUUUUCCUAGCAGAACUUUGCAUAGUAACAAGGGGAUCAGUGACAUUCACGUCACCUUCAGCAGUUUUACUGUUGUGGCUGAUCAGUCUAUUUAGAAUAACUCAUGUUUCACACUCUCGCCAUUAAGUUUUUGAUUCCUCAAAUCCUGCGCAAGCUUCAGCAUCAGCCCACAUGCCAUAAUCCAUAUACAUGAUUCAUCUUUGAUAUGUCAUUUUCCCGGCAGUAAUCCCAAACUGUUUAUUAAAGUGUCUUUACUGUUUUUAACUUACUAUAUUCAACAUUUUCCUUAUAAACGGCUCAUUACAUUUGGUAGACAUUGUACCAGUUGUUUGUCUUAAUUUACAUCCAUCAGUGUACAAUGUACAGAACAUUCUAAAAUAUUCAAUAAAAAGGUUAUCAAGGGUCAAUGUGUCUUUGGCUACCGGGCACCUUUGACAAAGGCGUGAUGUUCAUCUGCAAUAGAAAUCAGGGAUUUUUGUGUGUUUUCUCUGUCUUUAUUCAUAGAUUUUCAUGAUUAAUUACCCACUGAAAAUACAAGUCAUUCAUCAGAACUGAUAUGAACCAAGCAGUUCAUCAGCAUCGAUGUCCAAUAACUUGCAUGACCUACAGUGCACUGCAUAAUCUCCUCAGAUCUCCUUCUAACGGAUGUUUCUUCUUUUAUCCAAAGUGUUUUUACUCACAGGACUGCAGCUGACUGGAUGUUGCGCAAUAUACUGUUCUACACGACAAAAAGAAAGCAGCCAUAUGUGAGAUUCAUGAACUGGUGAAUUUGGCAUCAGAUUUCGCACCAACUGAAGCCAGAUUUAAACAAGGGAAAGCAUUCACUCUAGCCUUCUGCUGCAGAAGAAAAAGGCCUUCUGAAACUAGGGUGGGUACUUAAUCAUUAAUCAGUUGUAUGUGACUCAUGUGUCUGGAUAAGAUGAGAUGGUUGCAUCAGUUGUGGUGUACCUCAAAAUGUAGUAACACAGUCUUGUGAUAAGCAGUCUCACAGGCGAUACAGACGUGUGCUCAACACCUGCUUUCACAGAGAAACUAAUGUUUCACCAGCUGUCCUGGAGGAGCCUUCAGCACAAGGGACGGAGUCUUGACCAAUCUCGAUUCAUGUGUGCACACCCACACGCUCACAACACCACCUUUUAUCAGUGCAACACCACCGUUCCUCUUCCUUCCCAUCCUUUUAGAUAACUUCCAUGGAUCCAACUGCUCACUGCCAAAACUUAAUAGAUGCUGACAGAUGAAUGUAGGCAAAGCAUGCCAAUAUAUAUAUAUCAAGGUUCAUCCACGGGGAAAAACAAAUGAGUGAUAUAAAUAAAAUUUAAAACAACAUUGUAGCUGAGAUAAACACCCUGUCAAAUCUUUGCAGAGAUAAAAAGAAUAAAAAUGUAGUGUGGACAGAGGAAUGAUUCUCUCAAGUAUGGACAGCUGCACAUCUCAUGUCAUUUUAGCUCAUACUGCCUUCUAGUGGUGCACCGUCGUUCCCAGAGACUUACUGAAACCAGUAACCUGCACAUAAACUUUUUAGUUGUUUCUGCCUUUUUUGCAAUUUUGUAUUUUUCAUGCUACAAAACAGCAAACAUGUUAAAUCUAUUUGACCUUUAUCCAUCAAUACAGGCACAUCAAAUGCUGAAGAUUCAACCCGAGCUUCCUUCGUGGCAAUGGGGGCUACAUUUGCUCCUAGAGGGAAAAGAUCCAGUGCUCAGAGCUUUUUGAAGUCCUGCAGAGUCCUGGCGCAAUCGAGAGGUGUGGAGAGUUGAAGCUUGCAAGAAACCUGUUGUGCACUGGGGGAUUAGCACAUCUGAUUACACAGUGAGUCCUGCACAGAGCAUCCUGCCUCUGAGGCCCUACUGACAGUUCAUAGGACUUCAGAGACCCUCCAACCUCCCACAGCUACUGAGAUGUCAGACAAGUUUAACCAAUCUGGGGAUACAAAGCUGCAGGAACAUGGAAUUUAUUAAGACUUAAAUUUAACCCUUGUAGUAUCUUUAAAAUUUAAAAAGACAGUUUAACCUUGGGACCCCAAAAGGUCCUAAGGCAACAGGUGAUAUAGCAAUAUCAUAAAUGAAUUAAUUUUUUCACAUCAAAUCUUUUCAACAACUUCAGACCUAACCAUAGGCCAAAAAUGAGUUUAUUGCAGCCUAGAAUAGGUCAAUAAUUGAUAACAACAUUGAUUUGGAUGCAUUAUUAUUUUUGGAGCAAUCAGUUUUU